CCUACGGGCGGCUGCAGUGGGGAAUAUUGGACAAUGGGGGCAACCCUGAUCCAGCCAUGCCGCGUGUGUGAAGAAGGCCCUCGGGUUGUAAAGCACUUUCAGUGAGGAAGAACGCCUGGUGGUUAAUACCCAUCAGGAAAGACAUCACUCACAGAAGAAGCACCGGCUAACUCCGUGCCAGCAGCCGCGGUAAUACGGAGGGUGCGAGCGUUAAUCGGAAUUACUGGGCGUAAAGCGCGCGUAGGUGGCUUGAUAAGCCGGUUGUGAAAGCCCCGGGCUCAACCUGGGAACGGCAUCCGGAACUGUCAAGCUAGAGUGCAGGCGAGGAAGGUAGAAUUCCCGGUGUAGCGGUGAAAUGCGUAGAGAUCGGGAGGAAUACCAGUGGCGAAGGCGGCCUUCUGGACUGACACUGACACUGAGGUGCGAAAGCGUGGGUAGCAAACAGGAUUAGAUACCCCAGUAGUC
rnacentral:rRNA from 1 species